rfam:Gorilla gorilla gorilla genomic chromosome, chr5, whole genome shotgun sequence
GCUGGGCAUGGUGGUGCAUGCCUGUAAUCCCAGCUACAUGGGAGGCUGAGGCAAGAGAAUCGCUUGAACCUGGGAAGCAGAGGUUGCAGUGAGCCUAGAUCGUGCCACUGCACUCCAGCCUGGGUGACAGGGUGAGACUUUGUCUCAA